UACAGAGGGGGCCAGCGUUAUUCGGAAUUAUUGGGCGUAAAGGGCGCGUAGGCGGCUCGGUAAGCCGGAUGUGAAACCUCCAAGCUCAACUUGGAGCGGCCAUUCGGAACUGCUGUGGCUAGAGUCUGGUAGGGGAACACGGAAUACCUGGUGUAGCGGUGAAAUGCUUAGAUAUCAGGUGGAACACCAGUGGCGAAGGCGGUGUUCUGGGCCAGUACUGACGCUGAGGCGCGAAAGCGUGGGGAGCGAACAGG
rnacentral:rRNA from 1 species